GACGAACGCUGGCGGCAGGCCUAACACAUGCAAGUCGAGCGGAGCGGCGGACGGGUGAGUAAUGCCUAGGAAUCUGCCUGGUAGUGGGGGAUAACGUCCGGAAACGGGCGCUAAUAUCGCAUACUAUCAGAUGAGCCUAGGGCGGAUUCGCUAGUUGGUGGGGUAAAGGCCUACAAAGGCGACGAUCCGUAACUGGUCUGAGCUGAUGAUCAGUCACACUGAAACUGAGACACGGUCCAGAUGCCUACGGGAGGCAGCAGGGGUGAAUAUUGGACAAUGGGCGAAAGCCUGAUCCAGCCAUUCCGGGUGUGUGAAGAAGGUCUUCGGAUUGUAAAGCAGUUUAAGUUGGGAGGCGUUACCAACAGAAUAAGCACCGGCUAAGUUCGUGCCAGCCGCCGCGGUAAUAC
rnacentral:rRNA from 1 species